GGGGGGGGGGGGGGGGGGGGGGGGCGGGGGGGGGGCGGGGGGGGGGGGCCGGGUGGGGGGGGGGGGUCGGGUGGCGCGCGGGUGGGUGGCGCGUGGGUGACCUGGCCUUGAGUUUGGGGUACCUUCCGGACACUGUGGCUGAUCCCGGAUCGUAGCUGCGGCUGCCUGGUGGUGGUUGGCAAGUUUCGGCGGUUGGGGAUGGACUCGCGGCUUAUCCGCUGGGUUGUGGGGUAGUGGCUUCCCAAGGCUCUGACGGGUAGCCGGCCUGAGAGGGUGACCGGCCACAUUGGGACUGAGAUACGGCCCAGACUCCUACGGGAGGCAGCAGUGGGGAAUAUUGCACAAUGGGCGGAAGCCUGAUGCAGCAACGCCGCGUGCGGGAUGACGGCCUUCGGGUUGUAAACCGCUUUCGCCUGUGACGAAGCGUGAGUGACGGUAAUGGGUAAAGAAGCACCGGCUAACUACGUG
rnacentral:rRNA from 1 species